UCCAAUUGUGCUAGAAAUUCUUAGGUGUUUGCAGGUUUGGACUGCUGUAAUUCGUGGCUUAAGUGUCCCUAAACCCUAACCCACUUCCUUGUAUUGCUGAUGGAUCAAAAAAGGUGUCUUAGGUGUUGUUUGGUGCUUAGAAACUCUUAGGACUGAAAAGUUAUCACAUGCAUGUGCUUAUGUUGUAAUUAUGAUUCUGCCCUAUGUGUGUUUCUGAAUUUGAUGUAAAAAAUCCAUGGGUUUCAAGGCUUACCCAUAAGUUUCAAAACAACCUAGAAGCCGAAACAUCGUCAAAAUCACGGGUAAGACCUAUAGAGCUCCAAAACUCUUUGGUAAUGUCUCAAAUGGCUUAGGUAUGAAGGUGACGAGAGAAUUAUAAUACACUUAUGAAAAACUCCUAGGGAAUUAUAAAACACUUCUGAAAGCCUGAAGGUGACGAGAGGUUAAUUACCUUGUCGUGAACUCAAUUUGAAAUUUUAGGUUCUGAAAGUGCUA
rnacentral:lncRNA from 1 species